UAUGGCCACAUCAUUCUGAAACAUUGCUUCCCCUGAGAUCACGACAGUUAAGCAAUAUUGUGCCAGCUCAGUACCUAGAUGGGUGACUGCUUGAGAAUACCAGCUUUUGUA